rnacentral:sRNA from 1 species
UUUGACUUAAGGAACAUCUUAUUAUCACAAGCGAACAACGUUAAUUUGAAUAUUAAUUUAUAAGAAGAGUACGCCUGGCGCGCCACAAAGGAAAUAUCUGUCUCCCAUCUGGUAUGUUACAAAAUAUAAAUUGGCACACCAUGUUAAAAA